AUACGUAGGGAGCAAGCGUUGUCCGGAUUUACUGGGUGUAAAGGGUGCGUAGGCGGCUUGGCAAGUCGGGCGUGAAAGCUAUGGGCUUAACCCAUAAAUUGCGUUCGAAACUGUUGGGCUUGAGUGAAGUAGAGGUAGGCGGAAUUCCCGGUGUAGCGGUGAAAUGCGUAGAGAUCGGGAGGAACACCAGUGGCGAAGGCGGCCUACUGGGCUUUAACUGACGCUGAGGCACGAAAGUGUGGGUAGCAAACAGGAUUAGAUACGCUGGUAGUCCACGCCGUAAACGAUGAAUACUAGGUGUAGGGGGUAUCGACUCCCUCUGUGCCGCAGUUAACACAAUAAGUAUUCCGCCUGGGGAGUACGGCCGCAAGGUUGAAACUCAAAUGAAUUGACGGGG
rnacentral:rRNA from 1 species